rnacentral:lncRNA from 1 species
GGAGAAUGUCGGCGGAGAUGGAGGGUUUCAGAAGGAGAGAUGUGGCCUCACCGCUGUUGUGCCGUCGAAAGGAAAAGAGAGGGGGAUGGGUGGCGGUUGUUCGGCCGGAUAUGGAGAAGCAGGCGGUGGCCGGAAAAGGAGAACAGAGGGGGAUGGGCGGCGGUUUCAGAAGGAGAGGGGCGCUCGCCCUGUUUCCAAAUGAGAGAGAAAGAUAGAGGGCGAGAAGAGGGUGGAUACCGCCGGUCUUCGUGGGGCGGCACCGUGGUCAGGGCAGCGAUGGCGCUGUGGUCAGGGCGGCGACGGCUCUAAGAGAGCCGAACUCAAAAUCGGAGAGAAAGAGGGGUGUCCGGCGGCCCUCUGCCCCCGUCAGUGUGUGUGUGAGCGGUCGGAGGCUCAAGAUCUGGGGCGGCGAGAGAAUUGGAGAGAGAAUAUCUGAAAUUAGAGUG